UGGUGAGGUAAAGGCUCACCAAGGCAAUGAUACGUAGCCGACCUGAGAGGGUAAUCGGCCACAUUGGGACUGAGACACGGCCCAGACUCCUACGGGAGGCAGCAGUAGGGAAUCUUCCACAAUGGACGCAAGUCUGAUGGAGCAACGCCGCGUGAGUGAAGAAGGGUUUCGGCUCGUAAAGCUCUGUUGUUAAAGAAGAACGUGGGUAAGAGUAACUGUUUACCCAGUGACGGUAUUUAACCAGAAAGCCACGGCUAACUACGUGCCAGCAGCCGCGGUAAUACGUAGGUGGCAAGCGUUAUCCGGAUUUAUUGGGCGUAAAGCGAGCGCAGGCGGUUUUUUAAGUCUGAUGUGAAAGCCUUCGGCUCAACCGAAGAAGUGCAUUGGAAACUGGGAGACUUGAGUGCAGAAGAGGACAGUGGAACUCCAUGUGUAGC
rnacentral:rRNA from 1 species